rnacentral:rRNA from 1 species
UGGGGAAUCUUGCACAAUGGGGGAAACCCUGAUGCAGCGACGCCGCGUGAACGAUGAAGCCCUUCGGGGUGUAAAGUUCUUUCGACAGGAACGAUAAUGACGGUACCUGGAGAAGAAGCUGCGGCUAACUACGUGCCAGCAGCCGCGGUAAUACGUAGGCAGCUAGCGUUGUUCGGAGUUACUGGGCGUAAAGAGUGCGUAGGCGGCGAGCCAAGUUUGGUGUGAAAUCUCCCGGCUUAACCGGGAGGGUGCGCCGAAAACUGGUUGGCUGGAGUAUGGGAGAGGAAAGCGGAAUUCCUGGUGUAGCGGUGAAAUGCGUAGAUAUCAGGAGGAACACCUGCGGUGUAGACAGCUUUCUGGACCAAAACUGACGCUGAGGCACGAAAGCGUGGGUAGCAAACA